CGAACUGCAGGGCUUCGGUGACGGGACACAGAAUGUGAAUGUAUGACCAGCAGAGUGCAGCUGAAGCAGGACAGGCUUGUAGGUCUUACUGAUUCCUCCAGCUGCUAGAGACGAUCAGAGCAUGAGGAUGGAGAGACCAGCAAGUGUUGAGUCAGAGAAGGUCAGCUGGAGCUGGACUGGAGUUCUGUUUGGCUUUAGUGGCUUCCUGGAUGGAGACAUCGACUGAGCUAAAGCGGCUAACAACGCAACAUUUUCCUCUCCCAUUAUAAACUUUGCUUUUCUUCAACAUGGAAAAUACUCCUACAUCAGUAGCUCUGUUUGUUAUUUUGACAUCAAUGCUUACCUGGUGGUCAAUUGAUCCUCUUAACCACUGAAUGUAUCAGAACCACCUGGACUGAGCUGGCUUCGUCAGAGGGAGCCAAGACUUCUCGAUAAAAUGACUUCCCGUAUUUUAAGAUGUUCUUCUGGUAA